UUGAACGCUGGCGGCAGGCCUAACACAUGCAAGUCGCACGGUAACAGGAAGCAGCUUGCUGCUUUGCUGACGAGUGGCGGACGGGUGAGUAAUGUCUGGGAAACUGCCCGAUGGAGGGGGAUAACUACUGGAAACGGUAGCUAAUACCGCAUAACGUCGCAAGACCAAAGAGGGGGACCUUAGGGCCUCUUGCCAUCGGAUGUGCCCAGAUGGGAUUAGCUAGUAGGUGGGGUAACGGCUCACCUAGGCGACGAUCCCUAGCUGGUCUGAGAGGAUGACCAGCCACACUGGAACUGAGACACGGGCCAGACUCCUACGGGAGGCAGCAGUGGGGAAUAUUGCACAAUGGGCGCAAGCCUGAUGCAGCCAUGCCGCGUGUAUGAAGAAGGCCUUCGGGUUGUAAAGUACUUUCAGCGGGGAGGAAGGGAGUAAAGUUAAUACCUUUGCUCAUUGACGUUACCCGCAGAAGAAGCACCGGCUAACUCCGUG
rnacentral:rRNA from 1 species